rnacentral:rRNA from 1 species
GCAACAGCUCAGAUUUGGAAUCUGGUCCUUAGGGCCCGAGUUGUAAUCUGGAGAGGAUGCUUUUGGCGCGGCGCCUUCCGAGUUCCCUGGAACGGGACGCCGGAGAGGGUGAGAGCCCCGUACGGUUGGACGCCUAGCCUGUGUAAAGCUCCUUCGACGAGUCGAGUAGUUUGGGAAUGCUGCUCAAAAUGGGAGGUAAUUUCUUCUAAAGCUAAAUACCGGCCAGAGACCGAUAGCGCACAA